UUAGAAAUUUUAUUGUACUGAUAUAGAUUACAAUAAAACUACUCUAACGACUAUAUUUAUUGAGUGAACAAACUAAGAAACGAUAGCUAUAGUGUUUUCGCUAAACGGAGAUGUAGGAACAUGUGCAUGUACAUGUGUAUUAUAUUAUACAUAUAUAUCAUACGCUUGCGAAGAAAGUGACUAAUCUUAAAAGACGGGAUUAUUACUACAAAAAUAUUGCAGAAAUAGUCUUUGAUUAAUUAUAAAAAUCUUAUUUAUUGAUGUUUUUUGAGGCAUUAGAAAAAAAACUAUGUUACUUUUCUUAAUUCAUGUGACACCGUGUUGUAUUCUAUAAAUACCUCUUAUUAUGAAUUUUGUCUUGAUUAUUAUUGUGGAUAAAUAUUGUUAAGAAAUUUUUCUACUGAAAAACAUUUAUUUCACUUUUUUCGCAAGGGUGCGAUAUAAUGAGAAUUUUAUGGAAGAUGCGUGACUUGAGCGCAACUCGCGAUUACAAG